GAUGAACGCUGGCGGCGUGCCUAAUACAUGCAAGUCGAGCGAACAGACGAGGAGCUUGCUCCUCUGACGUUAGCGGCGGACGGGUGAGUAACACGUGGAUAACCUACCUAUAAGACUGGGAUAAAUUCGGGAAACCGGAGCUAAUACCGGAUAAUAUAUUGAACCGCAUGGUUCAAUAGUGAAAGACGGUUUUGCUGUCACUUAUAGAUGGAUCCGCGCCGCAUUAGCUAGUUGGUAAGGUAACGGCUUACCAAGGCAACGAUGCGUAGCCGACCUGAGAGGGUGAUCAGCCACACUGGAACUGAGACACGGUCCAGACUCCUACGGGAGGCAGCAGUAGGGAAUCUUGCGCAAUGGGCGAAAGCCUGACGCAGCAACGCCGCGUGAGUGAUGAAGGUCUUCGGAUCGUAAAACUCUGUUAUUAGGGAAGAACAAAUGUGUAAGUAACUAUGCACGUCUUGACGGUACCUAAUCAGAAAGCCACGGCUAACUACGUG
rnacentral:rRNA from 1 species